GGAGCCAUGGCUCAGUGGUAGAGCAUCUGCUUGGCAUACAUAAGGUCCCAGGUUCAAUUCCGAGCAUCUCCA
rnacentral:tRNA from 1 species